GGCGAGUGAAGCGGUAACAGCUCAAAUUUGAAAGCUAGCUCUUUUAGGGUUCGCAUUGUAAUUUGUAGAAGAUGCUUCGGGUGUGGCCCCGGUCUAAGUUCCUUGGAACAGGACGUCAUAGAGGGUGAGAAUCCCGUAUGUGACUGGGUGCUUUCGCUCAUGUGAAGCUCUUUCGACGAGUCGAGUUGUUUGGGAAUGCAGCUCAAAAUGGGUGGUAAAUUUCAUCUAAAGCUAAAUAUUGGCCAGAGACCGAUAGCGCACAAGUAGAGUGAUCGAAAGAUGAAAAGCACUUUGGAAAGAGAGUUAAACAGUACGUGAAAUUGUUGAAAGGGAAGCGCUUGCAACCAGACUUGCGCGCUGAUGAUCAUCCGGGCUUCUGUCCGGUGCACUCGUCUGCGCUCAGGCCAGCAUCGGUUUCGGUGGUGGGAUAAAGGCCUUGGGAAUGUAGCUCCUCUCGGGGAGUGUUAUAGCCCUCGGUGCAAUGCCGCCUAUCGGGACCGAGGACCGCGCUUCGGCUAGGAUGCUGGCGUAAUGGUUGUAAGCGACCCGUCUUGAAACACGGACCAAGGAGUCUAACAUCUAUGCGAGUGUUUGGGUGUCAAACCCAUACGCGUAAUGAAAGUGAACGGAGGUGAGAACCCUUAAGGGUGCAUCAUCGACCGGUCCUGAUGUCUUCGGAUGGAUCUGAGUAAGAGCAUAGCUGUUGGGACCCGAAAGAUGGUGAACUAUGCGUGAAUAGGGUGAAGCCAGAGGAAACUCUGGUGGAGGCUCGCAGCGGUUCUGACGUGCAAAUCGAUCG
rnacentral:rRNA from 1 species